CAAUAGCGUAUAUUAAAGUUGUUGCGGUUAAAAGCUCGUAGUUGGAUUUUUGUUGCCAAGACCCCUGCUUUUCUACAUGACUAGCACGCGGGUUUUGGCGACAUUUUCUGGUAGUUUUGUGGUACUUCGUUGUGCCAUAUCAUUUCCAGGGUUUUACUUUGAGGAAAUUAGAGUGUUUCAAGCAGGCUUAAAGCUUUGAAUAUAAUAGCAUGGAAUAAUACUGUAAGGCUUCGGCUUUAUUUUGUUGGUUUUUAGAGUCGAAGUAAUGAUUAAUAGGGACAGUCGGGGGCGAUUCGUACUUAACUGUCAGAGGUGAAAUUCUUGGAUUUGUUAAAGACGAACUAUUGCGAAAGCAUUUGCCAAGGAUGUUUUCAUUGAUCAAGAACGAAAGUUAGGGGAUCGAAGACGAUCAGAUACCAU
rnacentral:rRNA from 1 species